UAUGGCCACAUCAUCUUGAAGCCCCAGUUCCCAUAUGAUCACCAAAGUUAAGCAAUAUCAAGCCUGAUCAGUAUCUAGAUAGGUGACUGCUUGGAAAUAUCAGGUGCUGUAAG